UUUCAACACAGGUCGCUCUUUAAAAAUGGUUGGAAAUUAUUGUGCGGUAAAGAAUUGCAACAACCGAUCGAAUAGAAAGGAGAAUGUACAGCUCGACGGAACACCAUUGAGUUUCUUCCGGAUCCCUACAUGGAGAAAAGCGAGGGAAAGGUCAUAGCUGAACUUACCAAACAUCGAAGAAUGGCAUGGGUGGCCUCGAUCAGAAGGAAGGGCAUAACGUUUGAUUCUCCAGUUACACACUGAGUUUGCUCUAUGCACUUCCACUCCGGGCUGCACUUCUGUCGACUGGGACGUCUGCCGGACAGCUGUUUCUGAAUUGCUCUUCGGCCCCAAUUCCUCUCUGAAGCCAGCGGACGGUUGAAAGACACUCCACAGCUCUGCACUCAGCAGGCCAAAUGCACGUCUGCUGGCCCUCCCCACCCUCAGCUAUUCUAGGCACUGCGCUGGCUUUCACUCAGCAACCACAUGCAAAAAGCCAAUGAUGGAGCAACAGGAGAAAUCGCAGCACUUGCAGAUGAGGGGAGAUCUGCAUUGUUGCAUGUUGGUUUUGUCAGCAUGGGAAUUGUGACGAUGUGUAUUUUGAUUGCCUUCUGAUGGUUAGUUACUUCAUUAGUUUAGAGAACUUUAUAAUUGCUACACGAGCAGUCAUGGAAUUUCAUAAACGUGUGGUACAUUUGCAUGGCUGAUCAAUUCUUGCUCGUGUAUUUUAUUUUUUUGUCCCUUCCUGUUGUGUUCAAAACACAAGUCCAAAAAUACCUAUAGUAUUAGAAUAAUGUUUACUGUGUGUAUGUUUUGUAUUUUUUUCUCUCUCUCUCUCUGAUCUCUCCAACAAAUUUCUUCUUUUUGUUGUUGUCACUGUCAAACUUUUCCUGAGAUUUUGUUAUUUAUUAUUUCCAUAAAGAAACAAUUCUCAGAAAUAAGUGACAU